rnacentral:rRNA from 1 species
UCAAUAAGCUGAGGAAAAGAAACCAACCGGGAUUGCCUUAGUAACGGCGAGUGAAGCGGCAAAAGCUCAAAUUUGAAAUCUGGUACCUUCGGUGCCCGAGUUGUAAUUUGGAGAGGGCAACUUUGGGGCCGUUCCUUGUCUAUGUUCCUUGGAACAGGACGUCAUAGAGGGUGAGAAUCCCGUGUGGCGAGGAGUGCGGUUCUUUGUAAAGUGCCUUCGAAGAGUCGAGUUGUUUGGGAAUGCAGCUCUAAGUGGGUGGUAAAUUCCAUCUAAAGCUAAAUAUUGGCGAGAGACCGAUAGCGAACAAGUACAGUGAUGGAAAGAUGAAAAGAACUUUGAAAAGAGAGUGAAAAAGUACGUGAAAUUGUUGAAAGGGAAGGGCAUUUGAUCAGACAUGGUGUUUUGUGCCCUCUGCUCCUUGUGGGUAGGGGAAUCUCGCAUUUCACUGGGCCAGCAUCAGUUUUGGUGGCAGGAUAAAUCCAUAGGAAUGUAGCUUGCCUCGGUAAGUAUUAUAGCCUGUGGGAAUACUGCCAGCUGGGACUGAGGACUGCGACGUAAGUCAAGGAUGCUGGCAUAAUGGUUAUAUGCCGC